rnacentral:rRNA from 1 species
AUUGAACGCUGGCGGCAGGCCUAACACAUGCAAGUCGAACGGUAACAGGAAGCAGCUUGCUGCUUCGCUGACGAGUGGCGGACGGGUGAGUAAUGUCUGGGAAGCUGCCUGAUGGAGGGGGAUAACUACUGGAAACGGUAGCUAAUACCGCAUAAUGUCGCAAGACCAAAGAGGGGGACCUUCGGGCCUCUUGCCAUCGGAUGUGCCCAGAUGGGAUUAGCUUGUUGGUGGGGUAACGGCUCACCAAGGCGACGAUCCCUAGCUGGUCUGAGAGGAUGACCAGCCACACUGGAACUGAGACACGGUCCAGACUCCUACGGGAGGCAGCAGUGGGGAAUAUUGCACAAUGGGCGCAAGCCUGAUGCAGCCAUGCCGCGUGUAUGAAGAAGGCCUCGG